UAGGAAGAAGACAAAAAAUAUUUCGGAAUUUAACUCUUCUUUCAUCACCAAUUUGAUGCUUAACUUUGAAUGUUUUUUCGAGUUUUAUGAGCUCGUGCACUGUGAGCUUUCCCAGUAUCAAUAUUCGACUUAGUUGGGGUAUUCGGCUCUGAAUUAAUGUUAUUCUUUGCAAGGUUUUGUGGCCAUUUGGUAUCCUUUUUCAUAAUUGAUUCCGGAGUACUGUUUAACGAAUGCUUCUCUCUAUUACCAGGGCUCACGAUGUGUUUCAAGGACCAUAGGACACGCUUAGAUCUUUUCUUAGACGGUGUAGGUGAUUCCUUUGGAUAGAGGCCGGUUUCUAAAGAGCCAGUCCUUCUCCUUUUAUUUUUCGCAGGGGCUUUUUGCAUUUCCUUUUCAGCAGAAGAGUGGUCUAACGGACUUAAUGAAGAUUCUAAAGGUAACUUUUGUUUACCUACAGGGUCUUUUUCUUCUUCAGAUUUGAAGAGUUGAUUUUUGAUUUUUGCCUUCUCUUCUUUCAGUUUUAGUAAUUUGACAGGACUUGAUUUACUCUGCAGAGAUUUCAAAGUGGACCGGAGAGCUGGGCUUGAUUCAAGUGUAGCUAAUCUUCGUAGUCUCUUUUGAGUUGCAAAUGUAGAAUUUGGUGCAAAAGCUUCUAACUUGGUCCUAAUGGAAGGUGGAGAUGGAGUUGAGUGGUCGACAAUUACGAAUGUCUUCGAACUUGAUGUAGGGGUUCUUAAUGGAGAAAAUGUCGAUGAUCGGUUUUUAUUAGGAACUUUGAGAGGAGGAGACUUACUUAAGAUGGAGGUGGGUAAUUUAACACGGGAAGGUGGAGACUUUAUAGUUGAUGACAACGAUUUCUUAGGACUCGGCACA